rnacentral:tRNA from 2 species
CGGGAUGUGGCGCAGCUUGGUCAGCGCGCCUGCCUUGGGAGCAGGAGGCCGGGAGUUCAAAUCUCCCCAUCCCGACCA